GAUGAACGCUGGCGGCGUGCUUAACACAUGCAAGUCGAGCGGAAAGGCCCAAGCUUGCUUGGGUACUCGAGUGGCGAACGGGUGAGUAACACGUGGGUGAUCUGCCCUGCACUUCGGGAUAAGCCUGGGAAACUGGGUCUAAUACCGGAUAGGACCACAUUUUGGAUGGUGUGGUGGAAAGUUUUUCGGUGUGGGAUGAGCUCGCGGCCUAUCAGCUUGUUGGUGGGGUAAUGGCCUACCAAGGCGUCGACGGGUAGCCGGCCUGAGAGGGUGUACGGCCACAUUGGGACUGAGAUACGGCCCAGACUCCUACGGGAGGCAGCAGUGGGGAAUAUUGCACAAUGGGCGCAAGCCUGAUGCAGCGACGCCGCGUGGGGGAUGACGGCCUUCGGGUUGUAAACUCCUUUCGCUAGGGACGAAGCGUUAUGUGACGGUACCUGGAGAAGAAGCACCGGCUAACUACGUG
rnacentral:rRNA from 1 species